rnacentral:lncRNA from 1 species
AAAUAAAAAGAAAUGAAAAAGAAUAAAAGAUAGGCGGAAGAAAAUAAACGCUCUUCGUUCUUUUAUUUAUUUUUUUUUUAUCGUUCACGUGAGUAGUUUGUCUACGUGUGUAGGAAAAGGGCGCGCGAAAAAAAACCUCGUCUCUCUCCCUCUGUCUUUGAUUCUUUGCACAUUUCAUUCUUCUUCUUCCCCAUUCGUUGGGUUGUGACGUGAAUUGUUUUUUUUCAGCUAGACUUCUCAUUUGGCGCAUACCAGGAUAAAGUUGCCCGGCCCGCUAGAUGGCAUCUAGAUUUACUCUUCCGGAACGCGUAUAGUUAGUUAGGUCUACCAUAUCUCGUCCUUCAGACAUUUGUCACGUAUACCACCCAGACACAUGCACCCACCACACACACACACAGCACACACGGAAAAGCAAUUAAACGAAUUCAUCAAGUGUGUCUUAUUAUCGUCAUCCAUUCACGCUAUUAAGGUCGGUACAAACAACGGGCGGUUAAAGAUUACAAUCCCCCAUUCAAUCAAAAUGAAAUAAAAGCGGAUCGUAUAUUAUAGUAGGACUCGAUUGUAAUUUAAUCCCGCUGGAAGCACUGCUACAGUAGUACCCAUUGUGCUAUUGUUGGCCUUUUAAUAACUGAAUUAUACUUACAGUUCGUUAGCGUUAAAUUUCCACUUCAAUUCGAUCGCACAGACUCCAAAUAGGCCGACGCCGUCUAUGAAAGUAUAAUUGACGGUGUUUUAGAUGAGGUCACAAUCCGUAAUUUGUUGCUCAAAUUCCCACGUUUGUUUCGACUCGGCGAACAGCCAGUUCCGGUAAAUCGAUUGGGAUGUGAUGAGUUGAAGGUGGAAUGUGUCCGUGAGAGUCUUUUAUGACACAAAUCAAGGGCUUUUUUGCUCGGGAUAACCUUGUCUUGGGCGUCCAAGCAAUUUACAUAUGUAUACUGGGCAUAUUCGGCAACGCUAGGAGAUUGGGGUCAAGGCGCGAUUUGUUCAUCCUUGCGCCGGCGUCCGCGAGCCGUUUGUGCGAGCCCAGUUCUCUCUCUCUCCCUCUCUCUCUCUCUCUCUCUGCGUAUUAUCUCGUUUCCGCUUUGAGCACUCACGAACGCGACGGAACCCCCUUUUUUCUGUCUGUUCCUUUCGGUUUGAAGUCGUUCGGGGUUCGUCACAAUUCAAAUAAAACGAAUGCAACGCGCAUUUGGUUCCAUCAGUAAACAAAGAGACGAAACAACGUCAAGACGUGUGUUCCCGAUCUGUUUCUCGCACACAAGUUCAGAGUUUCUUUCUCGUCGUUGCAUUUUCGUUUUGACCAAAUUUCGCAAUAAUUCGCCAAGCAGUCGUCGUCAUCCGCCCCGCAGAAACUUCUGUCGCCCAUUUGUCAUCGUCAUCCAGCGCGGAGUGCGGAGUUGUUUUUGUCGCCAGCAUGAAGAGCUUCUUUCACGUUUUCAGAUGGAUCGCCCUGUGUUCCAUGUUACUGUUUGUCUUCUUCAGCGUCCAAACUGUCUCUUCGGCCAGUCUCAAAGGGGAUCACCAAUCGCUGACGGCGCAAAGUCUCAACGGAGUUCAUUCCGUUGCUCCACCUGAAGGCGGGGACAAAGUGACGACUCGCUCGGCAACGACCAGCACGACGACGACUCAGCCGCGCAACAAAUCGCUCAGCCGCCGAGCGCGGAUCCAUUACCGGAUCGGAUGAAUGUGAUCCUGCCCAUCAUUCAAAGUGGCCUAGCCUGCCUGCAAGUAGUCUACACACAAUCACACACACACACACACAAGAGGCUGCUUCCGCUGCUGUCCAUCCUGGAACGUUGAAUUUUUUAAUUUUAUUAUUAUUUUAAUAUUGCUGUGUGUUUGUAUCAUAGAUGAAAUGACGUGAUAUGCCGCUAUACAAUUUCAAAUGUUCUAAUUGUACCAAGAUAGAGAUAGAGAAAUGCAAUCCAGUUCAUUCCACAUGUUGUACACAGUUCGUGUGUAUUAAAUACAAAACAACAAAUCCAAAUAUUAUUCGCGAAAGAU